rnacentral:rRNA from 1 species
ACGGCCAAUCCAUGCUGAAAACACCGGUUCUCGUCCGAUCACCGAAGUUAAGCAUCAUCGGGCGCGGUCAGUACUUGGGAUGGCACCUGGGAACACCGCGUGCUGUUG